rnacentral:rRNA from 1 species
CUGUUCGCCAUUUAAAGUGGUACGCGAGCUGGGUUUAGAACGUCGUGAGACAGUUCGGUCCCUAUCUGCCGUGGGCGCUGGAGAAUUGAGGGGGGCUGCUCCUAGUACGAGAGGACCGGAGUGGACGCAUCACUGGUGUUCGGGUUGUCAUGCCAAUGGCACUGCCCGGUAGCUAAAUGCGGAAGAGAUAAGUGCUGAAAGCAUCUAAGCACGAAACUUGCCCCGAGAUGAGUUCUCCCUGACCCUUUAAGGGUCCUGAAGGAACGUUGAAGACGACGACGUUGAUAGGCCGGGUGUGUAAGCGCAGCGAUGCGUUGAGCUAACCGGUACUAAUGAACCGUGAGGCUUAACCUUACAACGCCGAAG